CGUAACAAGGUUUCCGUAGGUGAACCUGCGGAAGGAUCAUUACCGAGUGUAGGGUUCCUAGCGAGCCCAACCUCCCACCCGUGUUUACUGUACCUUAGUUGCUUCGGCGGGCCCGCCAUUCAUGGCCGCCGGGGGCUCUCAGCCCCGGGCCCGCGCCCGCCGGAGACACCACGAACUCUGUCUGAUCUAGUGAAGUCUGAGUUGAUUGUAUCGCAAUCAGUUAAAACUUUCAACAAUGGAUCUCUUGGUUCCGGCAUCGAUGAAGAACGCAGCGAAAUGCGAUAACUAGUGUGAAUUGCAGAAUUCCGUGAAUCAUCGAGUCUUUGAACGCACAUUGCGCCCCCUGGUAUUCCGGGGGGCAUGCCUGUCCGAGCGUCAUUGCUGCCCAUCAAGCACGGCUUGUGUGUUGGGUCGUCGUCCCCUCUCCGGGGGGGACGGGCCCCAAAGGCAGCGGCGGCACCGCGUCCGAUCCUCGAGCGUAUGGGGCUUUGUCACCCGCUCUGUAGGCCCGGCCGGCGCUUGCCGAACGCAAAUCAAUCUUUUCCAGGUUGACCUCGGAUCAGGUAGG
rnacentral:rRNA from 1 species